rnacentral:rRNA from 1 species
GCUUAACACAUGCAAGUCGAACGGAAAGGCCCUGCUUUUGUGGGGUGCUCGAGUGGCGAACGGGUGAGUAACACGUGAGUAACCUGCCCUUGACUUUGGGAUAACUUCAGGAAACUGGGGCUAAUACCGGAUAGGAGCUCCUGCUGCAUGGUGGGGGUUGGAAAGUUUCGGCGGUUGGGGAUGGACUCGCGGCUUAUCAGCUUGUUGGUGGGGUAGUGGCUUACCAAGGCUUUGACGGGUAGCCGGCCUGAGAGGGUGACCGGCCACAUUGGGACUGAGAUACGGCCCAGACUCCUACGGGAGGCAGCAGUGGGGAAUAUUGCACAAUGGGCGGAAGCCUGAUGCAGCAACGCCGCGUGCGGGAUGACGGCCUUCGGGUUGUAAACCGCUUUCGCCUGUGACGAAGCGUGAGUGACGGUAAUGGGUAAAGAAGCACCGGCUAACUACGUGCCAGCAGCCGCGGUGAUACGUAGGGUGCGAGCGUUGUCCGGAUUUAUUGGGCGUAAAGGGCUCGUAGGUGGUUGAUCGCGUCGGAAGUGUAAUCUUGGGGCUUAACCCUGAGCGUGCUUUCGAUACGGGUUGACUUGAGGAAGGUAGGGGAGAAUGGAAUUCCUGGUGGAGCGGUGGAAUGCGCAGAUAUCAGGAGGAACACCAGUGGCGAAGGCGGUUCUCUGGGCCUUUCCUGACGCUGAGGAGCGAAAGCGUGGGGAGCGAACAGGCUUAGAUACCCUGGUAGUCCACGCUGUAAACGGUGGGUACUAGGUGUGGGGUCCAUUCCACGGGUUCCGUGCCGUAGCUAACGCUUUAAGUACCCCGCCUGGGGAGUACGGCCGCAAGGCUAAAACUCAAAGGAAUUGACGGGGCCCCGCACAAGCGGCGGAGCAUGCGGAUUAAUUCGAUGCAACGCGUAGAACCUUACCUGGGUUUGACAUGGAUCGGGAGUGCUCAGAGAUGGGUGUGCCUCUUUUGGGGUCGGUUCACAGGUGGUGCAUGGCUGUCGUCAGCUCGUGUCGUGAGAUGUUGGGUUAAGUCCCGCAACGAGCGCAACCCUUGUUCACUGUUGCCAGCACGUUAUGGUGGGGACUCAGUGGAGACCGCCGGGGUCAACUCGGAGGAAGGUGGGGAUGACGUCAAGUCAUCAUGCCCCUUAUGUCCAGGGCUUCACGCAUGCUACAAUGGCUGGUACAGAGAGUGGCGAGCCUGUGAGGGUGAGCGAAUCUCGGAAAGCCGGUCUCAGUUCGGAUUGGGGUCUGCAACUCGACCUCAUGAAGUCGGAGUCGCUAGUAAUCGCAGAUCAGCAACGCUGCGGUGAAUACGUUCCCGGGGCUUGUACACACCGCCCGUCAAGUCAUGAAAGUUGGUAACACCCGAAGCCGGUGGCCUAACCGUUGUGGGGGAGCCGUCGAAGGUGGGACUGGUGAUUAGGACUAAGUC